UUUUUUUUUUUUUUUUUUUGUUGAAUUUCAAUUGGUUGAUCCAUUGCUCAACAGAAUCAUGGAUUUGAAUUUUAUUGGUUUAAUAUCUAUCAUCUAUGACACAUAGUAAAAGUAGGGUAUGGAAUCUCUAAAUAUUUAUAUCAAAUUUGUGUAAAAUUAAUUAUAGUGUAUUUAUGAAUUCAAUUUUUUUUUUUUAUAGCC
rnacentral:misc_RNA from 1 species